rnacentral:rRNA from 1 species
ACGCUGGCGGCGUGCCUAAUACAUGCAAGUCGAGCGAGGUCCUUCGGGGCCUAGCGGCGGACGGGUGAGUAACACGUGGGUAACCUGCCUGUAAGACCGGGAUAACUUCGGGAAACCGAAGCUAAUACCGGAUAAUUUCGAGCAUCGCAUGAUGCUUGAUGGAAAGACGGCUUCGGCUGUCACUUACAGAUGGACCCGCGUCGCAUUAGCUAGUUGGUGAGGUAACGGCUCACCAAGGCGACGAUGCGUAGCCGACCUGAGAGGGUGAUCGGCCACACUGGGACUGAGACACGGCCCAGACUCCUACGGGAGGCAGCAGUAGGGAAUCUUCGGCAAUGGGCGAAAGCCUGACCGAGCAACGCCGCGUGAGCGAUGAAGGCCUUCGGGUCGUAAAGCUCUGUUGUUAAGGAAGAACAAGUACGAGAGUAACUGCUCGUACCUUGACGGUACUUAACGAGAAAGCCACGGCUAACUACGUGCCAGCAGCCGCGGUAAUACGUAGGUGGCGAGCGUUAUCCGGAAUUAUUGGGCGUAAAGCGCGCGCAGGCGGUUUCUUAAGUCUGAUGUGAAAGCCCACGGCUCAACCGUGGAGGGUCAUUGGAAACUGGGAAACUUGAGUGCAGAAGAGGAAAGCGGAAUUCCACGUGUAGCGGUGAAAUGCGUAGAGAUGUGGAGGAACACCAGUGGCGAAGGCGGCUUU